UGGGGAAUAUUGGACAAUGGGCGCAAGCCUGAUCCAGCCAUGCCGCGUGUGUGAAGAAGGCCUUUUGGUUGUAAAGCACUUUAAGCGCGGAGGAGGCUACUUGGAUUAAUACUCUAGGAUAGUGGACGUUACUCGCAGAAUAAGCACCGGCUAACUCUGUGCCAGCAGCCGCGGUAAUACAGAGGGUGCGAGCGUUAAUCGGAUUUACUGGGCGUAAAGCGUGCGUAGGCGGCUUUUUAAGUCGGAUGUGAAAUCCCUGAGCUUAACUUAGGAAUUGCAUUCGAUACGGGGAAGCUAGAGUAUGGGAGAGGAUGGUAGAAUUCCAGGUGUAGCGGUGAAAUGCGUAGAGAUCUGGAGGAAUACCGAUGGCGAAGGCAGCCAUCUGGCCUAAUACUGACGCUGGGGUACGAAAGCAUGGGGAGCAAACAGG
rnacentral:rRNA from 1 species